UGUAAAAUUUUUCCAGGAUUUCACAAGAUAUAACUGUAAUAUUUCACAGUUAAUUACAUUAUUACCACUUCACAGGCUUUAACUGUGAUAAUUCACAAUAUAAUACCGUAUUUAGACUUUUACUGUGAAAAUAAUGCAGGCGCGGGGCUUUUACAAGAAACUACUGUGAAUGCCGUCUUUUUUGAGUGGCAACUGCGGCAGCGUCAUCAGAGCGUCAUCAGAGCUCUCUGAUCUACGUGGUCUCAUUCGGUGGAUUCAGACAGCGCAUUUUCUACAUUGACCAACGAUAAAUAAAGUUAUAAGGUGCUUCUUGGGCAUCAACCCAGAGACGGGCACAAAAUCUAAGAGGCAGAGAGGUCACAUGAACCAGCAAGUCUGCACUCUUAGCAGGAAGCUCAUUGACUUCGAAUGGAUGUCAAUCUAAUUGGAUAGAACCCACACUAUGCAGGUGCCAGCUGCGAGGGAAGGAGAGAGACACCUGCGACCCUCUCUAUUCCCACCUUUUUGUCUUUUCUUACAUCUCUCUCCCUCACUCUCUCUUCUCUGUCUCCUUCUUUCUCUUUUGACACACAUUCCUGUUACCCAGUGUCAAUCCCUGUUGCCCAGUGUUUUAUUCAUGUAAUUAAAUUGUAUUUUACUUCUAAAAAAUAAAAGUUAUGUCACUGUUUU